ensembl:lncRNA
UGGAAACCAGGUGUCUGAUUUGUAUCGGAGCUGUAGCAUGAACUUACCUGGUAUUGAUGACAGCAGCCCUAGCGUGGCAGAAAUCUGAAGGAUACAAAGCAAUUGCUCCUCUGGGUGGCACGAUCCCAAUGGAGCUGCGGCAGCUGUGGGGAUGGUGAGAGCCUGGAACGACAGCCGUGGAUUGCUCUCUCCAGGCCAGGUUUUUGCCAUCAAUUUUAACUUAUCUCAGGCUGCCAUCCAGCCUCCUACAGCACAAAUCCAUAAGCUACUGCUAUAAGUCACUAGGUGGAAGCAUCUACCUUAAUACCAGCAACAUCACUCCUCAUUAGAGAGACAACUUUAUCAAAAAUACAGAAUGGUACCAGCACAGAAGGGCUUUCUCUGACCUUCUUUCUUUACCAGUAGCUGCCAUUUCCUCCACACUGUGAUUUCUCUUCUGCCUUUCUCCACUCGGAAUAGCUGUUUGUCUUGGAGAACAGUCAGGACACCAAUUAUCUACCAGCUGGGCAGACUUAGCUCCGUAGGUGAUCACCUCACAUCAAGGGACAGCUCAGCAGCUGGAGGUCUGCGGCGGAGAAGCACAGCUGUUAGCAGUGGUGACUGCAGUGGGUGGGCAAAGCAGCCAGAUCCUCACCCAGCUCCUCCUUCACCCAUGAGCCCUUCCUCAGACACUAGCCCUCCUCUUGGGUGAUGUGUGAAUGAGGAAGAGCUGGGUUUGCUUCUCAUACUGCAGAGUGACGUACG